rnacentral:rRNA from 1 species
UAGGGAAUCUUCCGCAAUGGACGCAAGUCUGACGGAGCAACGCCGCGUGAGUGAAGAAGGAUUUCGGUUCGUAAAACUCUGUUGUUAGAGAAGAACAGCGCAUAGAGUAACUGUUAUGCGUGUGACGGUAUCUAACCAGAAAGCCACGGCUAACUACGUGCCAGCAGCCGCGGUAAUACGUAGGUGGCAAGCGUUGUCCGGAUUUAUUGGGCGUAAAGCGAGCGCAGGCGGUCAAUUAAGUCUGAUGUGAAAGCCCCCGGGUCAACCGGGGAGGGUCAUUGGAAACUGGUUGACUUGAGUGCAGAAGAGGAGAGUGGAAUUCCAUGUGUAGCGGUGAAAUGCGUAGAUAUAUGGAGGAACACCAGUGGCGAAGGCGACUCUCUGGUCUGUAACUGACGCUGAGGCUCGAAAGCGUGGGUAGCAAACAGG